UACGAAGGGUGCUAGCGUUGUUCGGAAUCACUGGGCGUAAAGCGCGCGUAGUCUGUUAUACAAGUCAGGGGUGAAAUGCCACAGCUCAACUGUGGAACUGCCUUUGAAACUGUAUGGCUAGAGUGUCGGAGGGGAUAGCGGAAUUGCUAAUGUAGAGGUGAAAUUCGUAGAUAUUAGCAGGAACACCGGUGGCGAAGGCGGCUAUCUGGACGACAACUGACGAUUAGGCGCGAAAGUGCGGGGAUCAAACAGG
rnacentral:rRNA from 1 species